GAUGAACGCUAGCGGCAGGCCUAAUACAUGCAAGUCGAACGGUGGUAGCGAUACCAUAGUGGCGCACGGGUGCGUAACACGUAUGCAACCUACCUUAUACUUAGGGAUAGCCUCUGGAAACGGAGAUUAAUACCUAAUAGUACAUUGACUUGGCAUCGGGUUAAUGGUAAAGAUUUAUUGGUAUAAGAUGGGCAUGCGUCCAAUUAGUUAGUUGGUGAGGUAACGGCUCACCAAGAAGAUGAUUGGUAGGGGAACUGAGAGGUUAAUCCCCCACACUGGCACUGAGAUACGGGCCAGACUCCUACGGGAGGCAGCAGUAGGGAAUAUUGGGCAAUGGAGGCAACUCUGACCCAGCCAUGCCGCGUGCAGGAUGAAGGCGUUAUGCGUUGUAAACUGCUUUUAUAUAGGAAGAAACAGACCUUGCGAGGUAGAUUGACGGUACUAUAUGAAUAAGCACCGGCUAACUCCGUGCCAGCAGCCGCAGUAACAC
rnacentral:rRNA from 1 species